AAUUGAAUGCUGGCAGGGAAGCACAGACAGAUACUGUAUUAGCUCUCUGUCACAUCUGAUAAGAAACCACUGGCCAAUGAAUUUAAUUAAAGCUCACUCAGAACUCGUGUGGCUGAUCUACAGGAGAGCAGGAGAUCUACCAAACAGAUACUGUAUGAUGUACAAAACAAACAAGCUUCUAAAGGUAUCAGAGAAUAUCUUCUCUCGUGUCCUUUUGAGAGGUUAUGUCUUGCAAAGGUUGACUAUGAACAAGGGGGAAAAAAAUGAAAAUACUUACUUGCCAACCAUCGCUAAAUAUAUAAGCAUGCAUGAUUUUGAACUGACAAUGUUUAAUUUUGGAACAAAAUUGUUCAAAUGUCACAUGACACUGCAGAAUGCACAGGAAGUGGUUCAUUGUAGUUUACUGUUGCAGCUGUCUGUAGGUGUAGCCAAUAAAAGGAUAGGCGCCCGACCAGGGUUUCACAAGGUACUGUGGAGGUUGCCUAUGGGUGUCACAUUGCCUAUUACCAUGAAAAUAAUCACCCUUUUUCUAUGUGCUCUUGCACAUCAAGUCGCAAGCGAAACUAAUGAUAUUUUUCCUGCGAAGAUCCUGACCCAACAGAAAUCUUUAAGCGAGAAUAGUGACCUCUACGUUAUCUGCAGCACAUUUGGGUUGAAGAAACAGACCGAGGUGUAUGUUUAUUUAUGUAGGAAUGAUGUUGGAAUGAUUAAACAUAUCCAGAAGAAAGAACAUAAUGAUACCACCUUCAUCAUAAACAGAGUCAGUCUUAAUCACAGUGGAAAUUACAGCUGUGUUUACUCAACACGUGGUUAUUCGCCUCCCGAAGUAACCAAGAAAGCAUGCAACCCCAUAGAGAUUCUGGUUAUAGCCAAUUUUCUCCCUGCAGAUAUUUCAGUAGCCGGGCCGUUGGCUGUCAGUGAGGGAGACGAUGUUGAAUUCAGCUGUACUGUGUCUGAAACCCUGCAAACACUGGGUGGAUGUCAAUUGAUCCAUUCUUACCUUAAGAGGAAUGAGCUCAUCCUCCAAGUGCAAACAUUUAAUGUCACACAGAUGGAGGCGACUUUCACCAUCCAAGACGCAGUCACGAGGGACUCGGGUAAUUACAGCUGUGUGGUGCUGCCAUCUAAAUGCAUCCAAAAGCAUGAGAAAACACUCUAUGGAAAUAACGCAGUAUCACUCGAGGUCAAAGAGAGUUUGUUUCUCCGAGUGAUUGUCUCUUGUGGAGUGAUAAGCAUGAUGAUAACACUGGGUCUGUGCCUGUGGUGCAUCAACAAACCAGGCGGCUUAGCUUUGUGUAAUCAACGUGCACCAAGUGAGCAGGCAAAUAUAGACAUGCUGGAGGAACAGCAGGAGCAGACAGAAGAGGGUCUGGAAGCACAAGAUGGAGAUUCUUUCAGCACCGAGGAAGAAGAAGGGUAUCAGAAUGUUGUGAAUGCUGAGGACAGCACUUACUCUGAUGGUUUGGAGGGAGUGUACAGUGUUGCAGAUGACAGUGAGAAUGACUACGAUGACAGUGAUCACAUGUGUGCCAACUAAUACAUUUUGAUUGAUAAAGAUGAUUCACCUGCAAGAUCAAGUUCAACACAUGUGUAUGCCAGGUCCUCCAAAUAUAAAUGUUAAUUUAUAAUAUGUUAAUCGGAUUUUAUUGUCGGAUACAUGAAUAACUGUAACGCACCCCUGCUUUGUUCUGUCUGUGUCACAUUUCAUUAAGGUAAGGUAAUGUUAAAAUGUAUAGUGAAUGAAGAAGGAACAUUUGAACUCCAUUAUUAGCCUGAUCAGUAGUAUAUGUGGAGGAGGAACUGCUCCUUGUGGUCAAGGGUAAAAGAAUGUCCUCAUACAUUAAAUUUUUACAUGGAUCCUUUCUUUGUUGCAGAAGGUUUCAAUUUAUUUUUGCCUAAUAAAUGAAAUUAGUGUGUUCCUGCCCCUUUGUGCAAUCAGUGCUUUAAAGAAUGUACUACAGUUUGUUUUCAAUAACAAACACUGCAAGUGUUGUUGUAGUGAUUGACUGUACUUUGUAAUAAACAGUAUAGAAAACAAAUCUCUCUAUUUAACAUUUAAUCGCAUUUGUUCAUUGAUGUUAAUACUGUCCAAACAUGUAAAGCAUAUGAUAAUAUAACUAAAACUGAAAUAAAUGGCUGAUUUUGUUAAAUCAGAUAUUUGAAAUAUACUUGGACAUACUGUAUAUGAAAACCAUUUAAGAAGAGCCUGAUCAAUGGUGGAAAAGCACUCUACCUUUACUUCAGUAAAAGUAUCUGUACCACAAUCUAAAAUUCUACUUAGGUAAAGAGUACAGAAGUAGCUAAAUGUAGGCCACUGGAAAAUAUAAAUGGUAAAAGGUUCUGGAGGGGAAAAAAGCCCUCCUGAGUGCUACAUUAUUAUACUUUAAUUUCUAGAUUAAUACUGAUGCAUCAAUGCAAAAACAUUUUCCUUUUGUUGAAUAAAAAAGAUCUGCUAAACAAAUCUGUAUUAUUUGAUUAUUUGUGAAACAUUGGAUAAUUUUACUUCCAUAGUCCUCAAACACUUCUUUAAAUUAUACCAUGUUUAGUAUGUGCCAAGUAAAUGUAGUUCUGAUGACUACAGCUACAGAAUAAAAGCUUAAUUACUUACGUUGUUUUAACUAAAAAUUAAAAAUAGAAAUAUUCAGUCUUGCCAUUAUCAAAUUAUAGACUAAACACUCGUAGAUUUCUUUAAAGAGGUUUAAAUAAAUGUAUUUAUUUAUUUUGAGGCUUUGGGUUUAGGAACACUACAUAGGCAUGUGGGGAUUAGGGUCUGUGUAUGAAGAGGAGAUUUAACUAAACACAGCAUCAAAAGGGUCUUACCCAAUAUCCAUGUUACACAUUGAUAAUGAAUUGCACUUUCCCCCUCUGUCUUUGUUUUCUCUUUUUGUAAUGAUUAGACACUGUCUAAUCAGUAAUCUAUAGUAGCUGCCUGCACCCACUUUUACCCGAGUGUACCCUUAGGAAAGUUUAACCAAAGAGUUCAAUGACCGUAUCCGAUAAGAAAAGCACUCAAUCACUAGCACUGACUGUAAUGACUUAGCAUGUUCUUUAGCUGAUGAGCUACCACUCAAGAGGAGCAUCCAGUAUAUUUGUCACUGCUGCUUUCCUCCCGUCUCUUAUUAGUGCUGCAGCUCCUGUGGGAAAUACAAGGAGGAGCUGAUGUAAAGAAUGAAGUUACUACUUUGUCAUCAAAAAUAGGGAGCAGAUGUGUGCAGUGCCGCACACUGAGAGCCAUGUUAACCUUUUUGUUUUGCUUGCUAUGCAGUUUUUCACUGUAAUUUCCAUUCUGAACAUGUGAAGUCAUCAUGAGAAUUUCCUUUGGAGGAAAACCUAUCCCCAAGAUUGAAAAUGUAAUAAAAUUGUAUCUUAUUAUGAGUGAUUGUAGUAUUGCCAGCCUGCAUUGAAAAACAAACUUGUAAUCACAUAGCAAAGUUCUCUGUUAACUUCUAGUCAGCACUUCUAAAUGCUUGCUGUGCCUGCUAAACUUGAAUCUGGAUUAUGUAUGUCACACUGGUUUUCACCCUGCCCUUCCUUGGAAAGGGGUUGGCCUGUUCUCAUUUUUACAUGGCUUAUCCUUCAUGAAAAAAGAAAGAACAAAUUCUUGUUAUUCAGUGAAUGCUCAGAUAUGCAACCCAACCAUAUUUCCCCUGCUGCACCUCAGGGGGGAUUAGCCAGUGGACAUAUCUGUUUUAUGGUUGAAUUUUUGUUUCAUGGAAAUUUGAAAAAAUUGAUGCUAUUGAAGCAGGCUUUACAUUCAGAAAUAAUUCAGACUUGUGACAGAUAGUGAUUUAAAUUACCUCUAUUUUCAGUUAAUUGAUCCUAAACAUGUUAUGUAGAAAGAGCAGCACAG
ensembl:lncRNA